rnacentral:rRNA from 1 species
UACGAAGGGGGCUAGCGUUGCUCGGAAUCACUGGGCGUAAAGCGCACGUAGGCGGAUCCUUAAGUCGGGGGUGAAAUCCUGGAGCUCAACUCCAGAACUGCCUUUGAUACUGGAGAGCUUGAGUCCGGGAGAGGUGAGUGGAACUCCGAGUGUAGAGGUGAAAUUCGUAGAUAUUCGGAAGAACACCAGUGGCGAAGGCGGCUCACUGGCCCGGUACUGACGCUGAUGUGCGAAAGCGUGGGGAGCAAACAGG